rnacentral:rRNA from 1 species
CGCGUAGGCGGCCAUGUAAGUUUGAUGUGAAAUACCUGGGCUUAACCUGGGAACUGCAUUGGAUACUGCAAGGCUAGAGUAUUGAAGGGGAUGAUGGAAUUAUGCAUGGAGAGGUGGAAUUCAUAGAUAUGCAUAGGAACACCGGAGGCGAAGGCGAUCAUCUGGGCAAUAACUGACGCUGAGGCGCGAAAGCGUGGGGAGCAAACA